GAUGAACGCUAGCGGCAGGCUUAAUACAUGCAAGUCGAGGGGCAGCGGGGGUAGCAAUACCUGCCGGCGACCGGCAAACGGGUGCGGAACACGUACACAACCUUCCUUUAAGCGGGGGAUAGCCCAGAGAAAUUUGGAUUAAUACCCCAUAGAAUAUGGAUGAGGCAUCUUAUUUAUAUUAAAGAUUUAUCACUUGAAGAUGGGUGUGCGUCUGAUUAGGUAGUUGGCGGGGUAACGGCCCACCAAGCCGUCGAUCAGUAACUGGUGUGAGAGCACGACCAGUCACACGGGCACUGAGACACGGGCCCGACUCCUACGGGAGGCAGCAGUAAGGAAUAUUGGUCAAUGGACGCAAGUCUGAACCAGCCAUGCCGCGUGGAGGAUGAAGGUCCUCUGGAUUGUAAACUUCUUCUAUUUGGGAAGAAAUGCAUCUUUUCUAAGGUGUUUGACGGUACCAGAUGAAUAAGCACCGGCUAACUCCGUGCCAGCAGCCGCGGUAAUACGGAGGGUGCAAGCGUUAUCCGGAUUCACUGGGUUUAAAGGGUGCGUAGGUGGGCAGGUAAGUCAGUGGUGAAAUCUCCGGGCUCAACCCGGAAACUGCCAUUGAUACUAUCAGUCUUGAAUAUCGUGGAGGUAAGCGGAAUAUGUCAUGUAGCGGUGAAAUGCUUAGAUAUGACAUAGAACACCAAUUGCGAAGGCAGCUUACUACCCGAAUAUUGACACUGAGGCACGAAAGCGUGGGGAUCAAACAGGAUUAGAUACCCUGGUAGUCCACGCCCUAAACGAUGGAUACUCGACAUACGCGAUACACAGUGUGUGUCUGAGCGAAAGCAUUAAGUAUCCCA
rnacentral:rRNA from 1 species